AUACGUAGGGUGCAAGCGUUAUCCGGAAUUAUUGGGCGUAAAGGGCUCGUAGGCGGUUCGUCGCGUCCGGUGUGAAAGUCCAUCGCUUAACGGUGGAUCUGCGCCGGGUACGGGCGGGCUGGAGUGCGGUAGGGGAGACUGGAAUUCCCGGUGUAACGGUGGAAUGUGUAGAUAUCGGGGAGAACACCAAUGGCGAAGGCAGGUCUCUGGGCCGUUACUGACGCUGAGGAGCGAAAGCGUGGGGAGCGAACAGGAUUAGAUACCCUGGUAGUCCACGCCGUAAACGGUGGAUGCUGGAUGUGGGGCCCGUUCCACGGGUUCCGUGUCGGAGCUAACGCGUUAAGCAUCCCGCCCGGGGAGUACGGCCGCAAGGCUAAAACUCAAAGAAAUUGACGGGGGCCCGCACAAGCGGCGGAGCAUGCGGAUUAAUUCGAUGCAACGCGAAGAACCUUACCUGGGCUUGACAUGUUCCCGACCGCGGCAGAGAUGUCGUUUCCCUUCGGGGCGGGUUCACAGGUGGUGCAUGGUCGUCGUCAGCUCGUGUCGUGAGAUGUUGGGUUAAGUCCCGCAACGAGCGCAACCCUCGCCCUGUGUUGCCAGCACGUCAUGGUGGGAACUCACGGGGGACCGCCGGGGUCAACUCGGAGGAAGGUGGGGAUGACGUCAGAUCAUCAUGCCCCUUACGUCCAGGGCUUCACGCAUGCUACAAUGGCCGGUACAACGGGAUGCGACACGGCGACGUGGAGCGGAUCCCUGAAAACCGGUCUCAGUUCGGAUUGGAGUCUGCAACCCGACUCCAUGAAGGCGGAGUCGCUAGUAAUCGCGGAUCAGCAACGCCGCGGUGAAUGCGUUCCCGGGCCUUGUACACACCGCCCGUCAAGUCAUGAAAGUGGGUAGCACCCGAAGCCGGUGGCCUAACCCUUUGUGGAUGGAGCCGUCUAAGGUGAGACUCGUGAUUGGGACU
rnacentral:rRNA from 1 species